rnacentral:rRNA from 1 species
UACGUAGGGUGCGAGCGUUGUCCGGAUUUAUUGGGCGUAAAGAGCUCGUAGGCGGUUUGUCGCGUCGGCCGUGAAAUCUCCACGCUUAACGUGGAGCGUGCGGUCGAUACGGGCAGACUUGAGUUCGGUAGGGGAGACUGGAAUUCCUGGUGUAGCGGUGAAAUGCGCAGAUAUCAGGAGGAACACCGGUGGCGAAGGCGGGUCUCUGGGCCGAUACUGACGCUGAGGCACGAAAGCGUGGGGAGCAAACAGG